AAGAAAACUGAAGCACAAGGAAGACAAGGGAGAAGCAUCACGUGGCCAGUGGCAUUUCCAGUGCCUUCAUUACCAAUGCCAUGCACAGAAGAAGAUGGGGUGCAAUCAGGACUGCAGCAACACGAGAUCUAUGAGGAUUCUACAGGGCACAAUCCACUGGAGGUUUAAGACCAUAAACCAUGGAGGCUGGUGGAGGCAGGAGGAGAAGGAGCAAUGUGAGAGGGAAGAAUUAGGGUCCAGUCUCCUGUUUGACUGGAGACCUGCAGGAAUCCAGAGACAACAUUAAACUUCCUUUUAGGAAAGGCUUCUACUCCGCAGUCACAUUUGAAUGUAUAACCACACAGAUGAAGGUUGUUACCUCGUAAGUCCUUCACUGCUCUACAGAUGUUUUUGAAAAUAGAGAAAGAAACCACAGAAAGCUGGACACAGUGAUAGGGGACAGUGGGGAUAUAGAUAAUCAAAAACCCUUAAAAAAUGUCUCUUUUCCUUCUGAAUUUUCAGCGUUUAUAUUCCAUAACCAAUUCUUAACUAAGAAUAGCUAGUGUCAUUCUGCUGUUUUUAUUGUAUGCAUAUAUAGAGAGAAACUCACACAAACAAACAAACAGAUUCUCCAUGGGCCAGCAAAACCAAACCAUCCAAUUAGAAACCUUCUGAGAUUCUGCAGAAAGGGGAAUAAGUAACACCUACUGCUGAGUGCAGGUCUUCAGACUCCCCAAGACAGGGCAGUUUGCAGGGGGCAGUUACAAUACCAGUCUCUUUUGGGGAAAUAUG
ensembl:lncRNA